rnacentral:rRNA from 1 species
CCCUUAGAUGUCCUGGGCCGCACGCGUGCUACACUGACGCCUACAGCGAGUACUUCCCAGCCCCGAGAGGUGGCUGGUAAUCAGCAAUAGGCGUCGUGAUGGGGAUAGAUCUUUGGAAUUAUGGAUCUUGAACGAGGAAUGCCUAGUAAGCGCAGGUCAUUAGCCUGCGCUGAUUAAGUCCCUGCCCUUUGUACACACCGCCCGUCGCUCCUACCGAUUUCGAGUGGUCCGGUGAAUCUUUCGGACUGCGCGCGGCCUCGUGCCGUGUCGCGGAAAGUCAGGUAAACCUUACCAUUUAGAGGAAGGUGAAGUCGUAACA